UACGAAGGGGGGCUAGCGUUGUUCGGAUUUACUGGGCGUAAAAGCGCACGUAGGCGGAUCGUUAAGUCGGGGGGUGAAAUCCUGGAGCUCAACUCCAGAACUGCCUUCGAUACUGGCGAUCUUGAGUCCGGAAGAGGUGAGUGGAACUCCUAGUGUAGAGGUGGAAUUCGUAGAUAUUAGGAAGAACACCAGUGGCGAAGGCGGCUCACUGGUCCGGUACUGACGCUGAGGUGCGAAAGCGUGGGGGAGCAAAACAGG
rnacentral:rRNA from 1 species